rnacentral:rRNA from 1 species
GACGAAUGCUGGCGGCGUGCUUAACACAUGCAAGUCGAACGGAAAGGCCCUGCUUUUGUGGGGUGCUCGAGUGGCGAACGGGUGAGUAACACGUGAGUAACCUGCCCUUGACUUUGGGAUAACUUCAGGAAACUGGGGCUAAUACCGGAUAGGAGCUCCUGCUACAUGGUGGGGGUUGGAAAGUUUCGGCGGUUGGGGAUGGACUCGCGGCUUAUCAGCUUGUUGGUGGGGUAGUGGCUUACCAAGGCUUUGACGGGUAGCCGGCCUGAGAGGGUGACCGGCCACAUUGGGACUGAGAUACGGCCCAGACUCCUACGGGAGGCAGCAGUGGGGAAUAUUGCACAAUGGGCGGAAGCCUGAUGCAGCAACGCCGCGUGCGGGAUGACGGCCUUCGGGUUGUAAACCGCUUUCGCCUGUGACGAAGCGUGAGUGACGGUAAUGGGUAAAGAAGCACCGGCUAACUACGUG